UAGGGAAUCUUCGGCAAUGGGGGGAACCCUGACCGAGCAACGCCGCGUGAGUGAAGAAGGUUUUCGGAUCGUAAAGCUCUGUUGUUAAGGAAGAACGAGUGUGAGAAUGGAAAGUUCAUGCUGUGACGGUACUUAACCAGAAAGGGACGGCUAACUACGUGCCAGCAGCCGCGGUAAUACGUAGGUCCCGAGCGUUGUCCGGAUUUAUUGGGCGUAAAGCGAGCGCAGGCGGUUAGAAAAGUCUGAAGUGAAAGGCAGUGGCUCAACCAUUGUAGGCUUUGGAAACUGUUUAACUUGAGUGCAGAAGGGGAGAGUGGAACUCCAUGUGUAGCGGUGAAAUGCGUAGAUAUAUGGAGGAACACCGGUGGCGAAAGCGGCUCUCUGGUCUGUAACUGACGCUGAGGCUCGAAAGCGUGGGGAGCGAACAGG
rnacentral:rRNA from 1 species